UACGUAGGUGGCAAGCGUUGUCCGGAUUUACUGGGCGUAAAGAGCGCGCAGGCGGUUUCUUAAGUCUGAUGUGAAAGCCCACGGCUCAACCGUGGAGGGUCAUUGGAAACUGGGGAACUUGAGUGCAGAAGAGAAAAGCGGAAUUCCACGUGUAGCGGUGAAAUGCGUAGAGAUGUGGAGGAACACCAGUGGCGAAGCGGACGUUU
rnacentral:rRNA from 1 species